GUUUGUCGUUUUCUGCGUGAGUUUAGUGCGGAUGCAUGAAUGGGAAUAUUUUAGUGAAUGAACGAAUAAUUUGGUUGUAAAUUUGGUCAUCGGCGACUGAUGGAGCUAAGGAUUUAUUUGUAGGGUUGUCAAAGUAACACUUGUUGUCUGGCACAGGGACCCUCCCCGGCCAGUCCUAGGCCUUUGACGUGCUAUUCGGACCUCCUGGGGCGUUUGUCACAAGUGGAGCCGCAGGGACGUUGUUGAUAGGCGGGGCCGCUGGGACUUCGGUAACAGGCGGAGCCACAGACGCAUUGGUCACCGGCGGGGUCGCACGGGCGUCUGUCACCGGCGGGACGGCGUGGGCGUUGGUCACCGACGGGGGAGCACUAUUGGUCACACUUCUUUCCCCCGCUUUCCGGAGUGGGACGUGACGUGGAGCCUGGGCGCGGCUUCCAUUGUGCACAGGUUACUGUUUGUGGGGUCUGUGCUUGCUGGGCCAAUGUUUGACGAUUAGCCAUAACCGAGGCGUAGCUACAUUCGGUUUCAGAGUCAUCUAUGUCGGACGGCUGCGUAUUUUCUGUCUCCAUAUCAGGCAGCAGGCGGUGUGGGGGCCUCGGCUCCUGAACUUUUGGAUUUGCUUUAAGAAUAUGGCCUACUUGGAAGCGGUCUGAGAAGGUGACCAGGAUGGACCUAUGGAUGACCUUACCACGAAUGAGUCGGCGUCUACCUAUUCGCGUCGCGUGACGUAUGGAGAAUGAGUCGGAGGCCAACCGGAGCUUGUCGAAGAGCACGGAACGUAUAACCUCCGUUGUAUCUUCAUGUUCACGCUCCUCCAGCCCAGCAAACAACAGAUUGCAUGAUCUAAGUUUUACAUCGAUGUCAAUAGACCUGCAUUCUAGCGCACGUAAACGUUUAUCUGUGACAUCCUGACGUGCCGAUUCUAGAAACGUACGGGCCUCAAUAGUAUCAACACGUAUUUUGAGUGGUGCUAGAUGUGAAGAUAAUACAUCAUAUAUCGAUGAGAGUUUGUCAUCAUUAUCAAGUUUAUUAAAGUCACCAAGUGGAAGCCAUGCCUUGUAGUAUUUAUCAGUACCUUGCUGAGAUCCUCUGAGAGUGUCUGUGGGUGGGGUACUGGUGAAACGUCGUGCACGUUUUCGCCCUUUUGCUUCCUGGAAAUCGUCUUGUAAGGGUGCAAAUCGUCCAGUGUAUGGAGUUGUAGGUUGGCUGUUAUAAUCUGUAGCCAUAUUUAAUGUAUCGGUGGUGAUAAUUUAGAUUAAUUUGAAAAUUUACAAGCUCGUGUAAAAUGGCUUCCGACG